rnacentral:rRNA from 1 species
CCUACGGGUGGCUGCAGUGGGGGAUAUUGCACAAUGGGGGAAACCCUGAUGCAGCGACGCCGCGUGAGUGAAGAAGUAUUUCGGUAUGUAAAGCUCUAUCAGCAGGGAAGAAAAUGACAGUACCUGACCAAGCAGCCCCGGCUAACUACGUGCCAGCAGCCGCGGGAAUACGGCGGGGGCAAGCGUUAUCCGGAUUGACUGGGGGUAAAGGGCGCGUAGACGGCUAUGUAAGUCUGGCGUGAAAGCCCGGGGCCCAACCCCGGGACUGCUUUGGAAACUGGGUCACUGGAGUACCGGAGGGGGAGGCGGAAUUCCAGGUGUAGCGGUGAAAUGCGUAGAGAUCAGGAGGAACACCGGCGGCGAAGGCGGCCUGCUGGACGGAAACUGACGUUCAGGCUCGAAAGCGUGGGGAGCAAACAGGAUUAGAUACCCGAGUAGUC